rnacentral:misc_RNA from 1 species
GUGAAUUAAACAUGCUUGGUGUCUUCGCUUCGGCAAGGCCCUUGCUUAAAUCACAUCCUAACACCUGUGAACUGUAAGACGUAUGAUGAGGUCUUCGGCCAAGUCAUCGUCUGCCCAUUUUUAACAAACAAUUAAUGUAACAAACGUAGUCUUAUUAUAACCUAAUA